rnacentral:rRNA from 1 species
AUUGAACGCUGGCGGCAGGCCUAGCACAUGCAAGUCGAACGGUAACAGGAAGCAGCUUGCUGCUUCGCUGACGAGUGGCGGACGGGUGAGUAAUGUCUGGGAAACUGCCUGAUGGAGGGGGAUAACUACUGGAAACGGUAGCUAAUACCGCAUAACGUCGCAAGACCAAAGAGGGGGACCUUAGGGCCUCUUGCCAUCGGAUGUGCCCAGAUGGGAUUAGCUAGUAGGUGGGGUAACGGCUCACCUAGGCGACGAUCCCUAGCUGGUCUGAGAGGAUGACCAGCCACACUGGAACUGAGACACGGUCCAGACUCCUACGGGAGGCAGCAGUGGGGAAUAUUGCACAAUGGGCGCAAGCCUGAUGCAGCCAUGCCGCGUGUAUGAAGAAGGCCUUCGGGUUGUAAAGUACUUUCAGCGGGGAGGAAGGGAGUAAAGUUAAUACCUUUGCUCAUUGACGUUACCCGCAGAAGAAGCACCGGCUAACUCCGUG